rnacentral:rRNA from 1 species
UCCUGGCUCGAGGACGAACGCUGGCGGCGUGCCUAACACAUGCAAGUCGAACGGGGGCAAUUUCUUCGGAGAUUGCUUAGUGGCGAACGGGUGAGUAACGCGUGAGGAACCUGCCUUCCAGUGGGGGGACAACAGUUGGAAACGACUGCUAAUACCGCAUAACGCAGCUAGAUCGCAUGAUCUUACUGCCAAAGCUUUAUGUGCUGGAAGAUGGCCUCGCGUCUGAUUAGCUAGUUGGUGGGGUAACGGCCCACCAAGGCGACGAUCAGUAGCCGGUCUGAGAGGAUGAACGGCCACAUUGGGACUGAGAUACGGCCCAGACUCCUACGGGAGGCAGCAGUGGGGAAUAUUGCACAAUGGGGGAAACCCUGAUGCAGCGACGCCGCGUGAGUGAAGAAGUAUUUCGGUAUGUAAAGCUCUAUCAGCAGGGAAGAAAAUGACGGUACCUGACUAAGAAGCCCUGGCUAACUACGUG